GAUACAUACUGAUGUAACCUUUUCAACUGCAUCAACAUUUUUGACCUUAAUCUCACCGCUCUGGGAAUUAAGUAAACUAAGCAUGCUAAGUGUAUGGUUAUGAUGAGCAACGGUGCCUCUUUCAAAAUUGUGAAUUUCAUGGCUUCUGGUUUAAAACACGAACCAUAUUCAUUGUUGGAAAGUUGUUACAUGAUACACGGGUGACCAAUAAGACCAAUGGGCCUCUUGUUUUAAUAGGUAUGAGAAGUAAAACUUACAAAUGCAUUUUUUUUUUUUACAAUUAUUUGUUUUAAUUUUUUUUUAUUUUAAUACCUUCAGGUUGCAGAUCCUCUCUUGAAUCGUAUCUUUCCAUCAGAAAUGAUACUGCAUCAAUAUGUAUGCACCUUGGAUAGCGUUGUAAAAAAGCUAAGAAAUGUAGAUAAUUUGAGAAUUUUAACACACAUAAUGUUUUGCGUAUGAAAAAAAAUAGGAACAUUGUUUUGCAUAUAAAAAAAAUAGAGUGUUUCAAGGAAUGCAUGUGUCACCUGCUUUGUAGCUUCAAAGAUGUAAAUAAAUCUAAGUGUAGUUAGCUGUUUAUUUACAACCAGCAUGAUAGGUUAUGCAGAAAAAAGCAACCACACGCAGUAUAAGACUGCGAUAGAAUCUGACAAAGAAUAUAGAAUUAUUGCUGGUUUUUGAGGUCAAUACGAUGAUAUAGACACCUGAGGAGUACAAUAUUUACUGAGCCCGAAUGAAUCUUAUGUCAACUUCCUGUUACUCUGUGCAUCUGUCCCUGCAAAAUUUCUGUCUCAGUUUUGUCAACAACUACUUAAUGCAAAUGCAUGAAAUUUUAGUAUAGUCUUUGUUUAGGCAUGCCAUAUGGUGGGAUUCAUUUCUGUAGAAAUCUGAUGUUAACUUCUUGUUUAUCCGUGUGUCAGUCUGUACUGAAUUUCAGUCAGUUUUGUGGGUAACUACCAAUCUGGACUAGAUUUUUUUUUUUUUUCAGUAGUCACUUGGGUUAUGGGCUUAAUUUUUUAUUGGUCAGCUCAGCACCUUUACUGUCCCACUAGGCAAGUAGAUUUUAAAAUGACUGGCCCAAAACCAUAUUAAUAAUAGUAAUAUUUUGUUCAUAUUUUGAUACUGGUAGUAUUGCUUGCAGAACAAGAAACAACGGAACUUGGACAGUCAACCACUUUAAAGGUGCGCAUGAUGCAACUUCCUGGAUGGUGUGUAGGCUGUUUGUCAACAUGUGAAACCCACGUGUAUUUCGGGGAGUAGUCUCCCCUUUUAAAGAUUAAAAAUGGGGGAUAAACAAUACGGCAUGCAGUCUGGUCAUCAGCAGAGAGUUUCGACACCCGUAUACCUCUGUAACCUUUGUUGUACAUCAGACA